AUUGAACGCUGGCGGCAUGCCUUACACAUGCAAGUCGAACGGCAGCACGGGUGCUUGCACCUGGUGGCGAGUGGCGAACGGGUGAGUAAUACAUCGGAACGUACCUUAUCGUGGGGGAUAACGCAGCGAAAGCUGUGCUAAUACCGCAUAAGCCCUGAGGGGGAAAGCGGGGGAUCGCAAGACCUCCGGCGAUUACAGUGGCCGAUGCCUGAUUAGCUUGUUGGUUGGGAAAAAGCCCACCAAGGCGACGAUCAGUAGGUGGUCUGAGAGGACGAUCAGCCGCACUGUGACGGAGACACGGCCCAGGCUCAUACGGGAGGCAGCAGGUGGGAAUUUUGGACAAUGGGGUCAACCCUGAUCCAGCAAUGCCGCGUGAGUGAAGAAGGCCUUCGGGUUGUAAAGCUCUUUUUUCAGGGAAGAAACACCGGCUCUAACACAGUCCGGGAAUGACGGUACCCGAAGAAUAAGCACCGGCUAACUACGUGCCAGCAGCCGCGGUAA
rnacentral:rRNA from 1 species